AGAGAGAGAAAGGACUGCAAGUGCGGCUGCGCUGUAAGUUGGACAGAAAAAAAAAGAAGGAAGCAGCGCUGCCAGCGUCACACACUUGACGUUUCUCCCUCAAUGCUAUAUCGUGUAUAUUUUUUGGGGGUGGCAAUACGGACUUCCAGUUGUGCGCCUGUAUGGGUGCCGCCUGUGAGGGUGUGUGCGUUAACGCCAAGUGUGUGUGUGAGCGGACCACAAAAACAAAUGCCAGCCAGAAGUUCUGUGGGCAGUAGCUGGCGGGCCUUACGCCCGGCAAGUCUUCGUUCUUCGGUCAUCGGUCUUCGGUCUUUGGCACAUUGGUACAUUGGUACAUUGGUGAAUCCACACCCCCUUGGUGAAUCCCCCUUGAAAUUUCUGACGCCGACGCCUCGCGAUUACUCCAAUUCGUGUGCGUGCGAUAAGAAAGUCGAAGUCUCGGAGUCUCGGAAGUCUCGAAGCUCGCAGCUCGCAGCUCGAGGACCACAGCCAAAGUAUCUUAUUGGAGUCGCUGGCAAAAUCAUUCCUUAGCGCGACGCGUCUCGGUGCGGUUGUGUUUAUAGAUACCCAUUUCAAGAAUAGAGAAAUAUACUUUGAAUCGCUGGGCAUAUCCGUGGAUUAACAUUGUGACAUCGCCGUGAACUUGAACAACCUACGAUGAUUUAUUACACCAAAUGACACACGAAUUGUGAAAUAUUUUUCUGAUGGAUUCUGAGGCUCAGGAAGCUCAAGAAACCUAAGCAUGUUCGAAUUAAUAAAAUUUCACUAUUAAGAAAAAAUGCCUCAAGAUGCUGGCGGAAAAGAAAAAAUUGUUCUUGACCUAGAAACAAAAGCAGGCACAGAACGAUGACGACACCAGGCCGGGGAAAAUGAGGAGGAAAACCCAGCGACGACGUCACCAAAAAGGCCAAGACACGAGGAAAGCAAAGCGAACCAAACAAAAAUUAAAAUUAAAACAAGGACACAAAAAAAAGCGUCAUCGUCCUUGGCUAACACAGAGAGUGUGAGAGAGGGAGAGGGCAAUAGCAACAGCCGCCAGCUGCGGGCCAGGCCAAAAAGAAAAGCGGGAAAAGCAGGCAGAACUGGGUUAAUAAGCAAAACGCAGACGACGAUGAUGAGGAAAAACGACGAUGAUGAGCAUGGCAACGAAGUGCAUAAUCAACAAGAGAGCAAAAUUGUGGGUGCGAACUUUACUCAUUUUCAUUUAGGUUCCCGAGGAGCACAAACUUUUCUCCUUCCCAGCAUGCCUCUGUAUGAGUGGGUGUGUAUGUGUGGGUGUCACAUUUUGCAACAGUGAAGCUUUCGCCCGGAGGUCUGGUCUCGUGACAUCCCAGGGUGCACAUAUUGAAUAUCUGCUGUGUUGGCUCAGCGGGCGGCUAAACAUUUGCUCGGCUACCUUAGACCAAAAGCUGAACACAGCACCAAAGCCGAAGCCAAAGCCAAAACCAAAUUGAUUUACGUCGCUGGCAGACAAAUGGCAGAGGGGCCAGGGAAUUAACAGUCAAAUCUGAAAUGGCAGCAACUAAAUGCAAAUCAUGGUGGUUACCACUGCACAGCGAACGUAUCCAGCAGAUACUUAGUACUCGGAUACUCGGGGAAACGGAGACGGCGCCAGCUAAUGUGCAAACAUAAAAUUUUAAGACGCCGCCGAAAGGAAAGCCAACGGAUGGAAAGGAUGGGCAACGGGAUGAGUCUGGCAGGGCAGACUCUUUUGGGAC